ACUGUCAGUAGUUAGAUCUACUGAUCUACCAAUACCGUAUUAAUUUUAUCCAAUUUUCUCUAGGUAGCCUAACUAAUUAAAUCGUAGUCUAUGUAAAAUUGAAAAUGGCUGGCAUUGGCUGCCGAAAUGGCGAAAAAUGGAGCAGGUACAUGGGAUAACCCUUCAAUAAUGUAGAGGGACACUCUUUCUAUUUGCCCAAGUAGUCUGCUGUGGCAAUCAUUAUUUUUGCAGUUUGAAUUCAUUGUUGAUGAACAUUGGCAAUCAUCAGUUAGUCACCAUAUUACAUGUUUAAUUGUAUAUUUUCUGUAAUUUACAAUCUA